rnacentral:tRNA from 1 species
GAGGGUAUAGCUCAAGUGGCAGAGCACAUGCUUAGCAUGCGUGAGGUCCUGGGUUCAAUCCCCAGUAUCCCCA